rnacentral:sRNA from 1 species
UCAGCGCCCGCGGCGAGGACCCCGGGGCUGGGGCGGACGGCGUGCCCCUGAGGGGGCUCCCCGCGGGAGCGCGGAGCCGGCGACUGGUGCUUCCCACGUGCGCCGGUGUCGCGAGGGCCCGGGAGGACGCACAGCACGGCCGGGAGAAGCAUGGGAAGGAGGCCGAGCCGGGAUCUCAGGUCCUCGGGGGCGGCGGCCACGCCAAGGACGGUACAAAACUUUUUACCAACAAAAAAAAGCAAGUAGCUAUACUCAGGAAGAACUUCAAGACACUUACGGGUUUCUUCUGUUUGAUACUGAAAAGCAGGCAAAAUUGGUAUGUCAGCGUGGACUCCGUGUUGGCAGCAGUGCUGUUACCACUCUGGGUGAUCCAGCCAAAGGUGUAUACAUUUCCAAAUACUCCGACUAUCUUCAUCCAAGACCAUGGUAUCAUGGGAAAUCUGGUUAUGUUGUAAUUUUUAAUAUAAUUAAGUAUUACUUUUACGAACUUUCAGGCAACACCGUUAUUGAACGACCCAGACAGAUCUGUCCUUAUGUAAU